rnacentral:rRNA from 1 species
AACGAACGCUGGCGGCAUGCCUAACACAUGCAAGUCGAACGAGACCUUCGGGUCUAGUGGCGCACGGGUGCGUAACGCGUGGGAACCUGCCCUUAGGUUCGGAAUAACUCCCCGAAAGGGGUGCUAAUACCGGAUAAUGUCUUCGGACCAAAGAAUUAUCGCCUUUGGAUGGGCCCGCGUUGGAUUAGCUAGUUGGUAGGGUAAAAGCCUACCAAGGCGACGAUCCAUAGCUGGUCUGAGAGGAUGAUCAGCCACACUGGGACUGAGACACGGCCCAGACUCCUACGGGAGGCAGCAGUGGGGAAUAUUGGACAAUGGGCGAAAGCCUGAUCCAGCAAUGCCGCGUGAGUGAUGAAGGCCUUAGGGUUGUAAAGCUCUUUUACCCGGGAUGAUAAUGACAGUACCGGGAGAAUAAGCGCCGGCUAACUCCGUG